AAACCAGCACCUCAAGUGGUCAGGAUGAUUAUUGGGCCUAAAGCAUCCGUAGCCGGCUCUGUAAGUUUUCGGUUAAAUCUGUACGCUCAACGUACAGGCUGCCGGGAAUACUGCAGAGCUAGGGAGUGGGAGAGGUAGACGGUACUCGGGAGGAAGUGGUAAAAUGCUUUGAUCUCUCGAUGACCACCUGUGGCGAAGGCGGUCUACCAGAACACGUCCGACGGUGAGGGAUGAAAGCUGGGGGAGCAAACAGGAUUAGAAACCCCGGUAGUCC
rnacentral:rRNA from 1 species